UAGACCAAUCAUUUGAAUCUUACAGUUAUGAUUAAUUAUGUUUCCAUUCAAGCAAGGUGAAUUUGGUUGACAUCCCAAUGUUUGGUGAAUUAAUGAAGCAUGAUGACUUCUUUUGAGGGAUACAUAUGUUGUAUGAUGUGUUCAAUCUAAAAGCCACUGCCCCUCCGCAGAAAGAGAAUUCUUAUUGAAAGAUUGACAAAGCUUUUGCAUUCAUAACAUUACAAAACUGAAGCUAGAGCUCACGUGGCACAAUUCAUUUAGUCAAGUGUUCAGUUGAUCUUUCUAUGCACAGCUAUAAAGUUGUUAAGAAAACGUCAAGUCAAGCAUGCUUUCUUUUGAUUGGUUUUCAGAUCUUCCCCAACUUGGAGGAUUUAUAUUUGGAAAGCAAGGAUGCAUCGGCAUUAUUGAGAAGCCUGUGUCCUCAAGACUUCUAUGACAAACUCAAAGUUCUCAAUCUGUUUUGCUUUCAUGAUGCACAUGCAACUUUUCCAAUUGAUCUCCUUCCAAGGUUCCCUAAAAUGGAAAAUCUUAUUGUGGGAUGUAGUGACUUCAAAGAGUUGCUCCCGUCUAGACUUGAUGGUGUGGAGAAGCAUGCAAUAGUUCUUUCAUCGAUACGACACUUGGAGUUGGACUCUCUUCCUUGCCUAGAGCAUUUAUGGAAGAGCAAUUCCCAACUGGACCAAGCUCUGCAGACUCUUGGAACUCUUGUGGUACAGAAUUGCCGCAGUUUGAUUUAUUUAGCUCCAUCCCGUGCUUCUUUCCAAAAUCUAACAAAUUUGGAUGUGCGGAAUUGCAAAGGAUUAGUAAAAUUAGUGACAUCCACAACAGCAAAAAGUCUGGCGCAACUCACAAUAAUGAGUAUAAAGGACUGCGGUAUGGUUACCGAAAUAGUAGCAAACGAGGGAGACGGAAUAAAAGAUGAGAUUGUCUUCAGCAAACUAGAAAUAUUAGAACUUCAUCGUUUACCAAGCCUAACUAGCUUUUGCUCAGAAAAACACAGCUUUGAUUUCCCAUCUCUGGUAGAAGUAACUGUCAGACAAUGUCCUGGGAUGAAGUUUUUCUCCAACGGAGCACUGAGCACUCCCAAGCUGCGGAGUGUUAAUUUGACUAAAGUAGAGAAGAAAAAUCUCAACACCACAAUACAACAGUUGUCUACUCAAACGAAAGCUCAAAUUGCUGAAAGUUCAUCAUCGUAAAAGCUUGAGAUACAUGCUUGCUCCACCGAUGGGUUCGAUCCCUGUGCAGCUCCUAGAGUUGGAAGUAAAAGGCUGUCCCAAGAUUGAAGAAAUUGUCACAAAUGAUUUACCAGGUGCGGUAGAUCUUCUGAGAGAACAAAAGGCAAAUGCAACUGAUGGGGCUACUGAACCAAGGAUGAUACAGGACAAGAAGAUUUGAAGAAAGAAACGGAGAGAAAGGAAGAAAGGAGGGAGAAGAAGAUGAGAGGAGCAGGAGAAGAGGAGAGGGAGGAGGAGAAAUCAAUGAUCUUCAUAUUUCAUCUUCAAAACUGUAAUGUAAUGUAAAAUACAAUACAUAUAAAUAGCAAAACUCUACCCAAACAUUGAUUUACAAUUACUAUAAAGAAAGGGUGUUUUCAUGUAAAAAUAUUAUAAUUGUAAA